GGGGCCGUAGUCUAGCUUGGUAGGAUGCCGGCCUGGGGCGAAGCCCCGUUCACAGAGCGCCGGUGAGCCCGGGUUCAAAUCCCGGCGGCCCCA
rnacentral:tRNA from 1 species